AAUUUUUGGCACAUCCUUCUAGAAGGUCGAAAUUGCACAGUGGAGAUUCCAUCGGAAAGAUUUAGCUGUACUUUUUGGUACGACUCCAGUGACAGCAAACCAGGGAAAUCCAGAACAGUUCGAGCAGCAUUAAUUGAUGGCAUAUUCUGCAUCGGACAAUGUCACUGACGCCCCAGAGCUGUUCAUACCUGUCGAUUCGCAAAAUGACGAAAAUUCUGUACAAAACGAAACAGUUUCUCAAAGGGAUUACUC